AACGAACGCUGGCGGCAGGCUUAACACAUGCAAGUCGAACGCCCCGCAAGGGGAGUGGCAGACGGGUGAGUAACGCGUGGGAAUCUACCCAUCUCUGCGGAAUAGCUCCGGGAAACUGGAAUUAAUACCGCAUACGCCCUACGGGGGAACGAUUUAUCGGGGAUGGAUGAGCCCGCGUUGGAUUAGCUAGUUGGUGGGGUAAAGGCCUAACAAGGCGACGAUCCAUAGCUGGUCUGAGAGGAUGAUCAGCCACAUUGGGACUGAGACACGGCCCAAACUCCUACGUGAGGCAGGAGUGGGGAAUAUUGGACAAUGGGCGCAAGCCUGAUCCGGCCAUGCCGCGUGAGUGAUGAAGGCCUUAGGGUUGUAAAGCUCUUUCACCGGUGAAGAUAAUGACGGUAACCGGAGAAGAAGCCCCGGCUAACUUCGUGCCAGCAGCCGCAGUAA
rnacentral:rRNA from 1 species